rnacentral:rRNA from 1 species
GAUGAACGCUGGCGGCGUGCCUAAUACAUGCCAGUCGAGCGAACAGACGAGGAGCUUGCUCCUCUGACGUUAGCGGCGUACGGGUGAGUAACACGUGGAUAACCUACCUAUAAGACUGGGAUAACUUCGGGAAACCGGAGCUAAUACCGGAUAAUAUAUUGAACCGCAUGGUUCAAUAGUGAAAGACGGUUUUGCUGUCACUUAUAGAUGGAUCCGCGCCGCAUUAGCUAGUUGGUAAGGUAACGGCUUACCAAGGCAACGAUGCGUAGCCGACCUGAGAGGGUGAUCGGCCACACUGGAACUGAGACACGGUCCAGACUCCUACGGGAGGCAGCAGUAGGGAAUCUUCCGCAAUGGGCGAAAGCCUGACGGAGCAACGCCGCGUGAGUGAUGAAGGUCUUCGGAUCGUAAAACUCUGUUAUUAGGGAAGAACAAAUGUGUAAGUAACUAUGCACGUCUUGACGGUACCUAAUCAGAAAGCCACGGCUAACUACGUG